UACAGAGGUCUCAAGCGUUGUUCGGAAUUAUUGGGCGUAAAGAGCUCGUAGGCGGUGUGUCACGUCGGCCGUGAAAACCUGCAGCUUAACUGUGGGCGUGCGGUCGAUACGGGCAUCACUGGAGUUCGGCAGGGGAGACUGGAAUUCCUGGUGUAGCGGUGAAAUGCGCAGAUAUCAGGAGGAACACCGGUGGCGAAGGCGGGUCUCUGGACAGUUCCUGACACUGAGACACGAAGGCCAGGGGAGCAAACGGG
rnacentral:rRNA from 1 species